UGGCGUAGUGGUCACUGCGCUCGCCUUGCACGCGGGAGACCCGGGUUCGAUUUCCGG
rnacentral:tRNA from 1 species